rnacentral:rRNA from 1 species
CCUACGGGCGGCUGCAGUGAGGAAUAUUGGUCAAUGGACGCAAGUCUGAACCAGCCAUGCCGCGUGCAGGAAGACGGCUCUAUGAGUUGUAAACUGCUUUUGUACGAGGGUAAACUCACCUACGUGUAGGUGACUGAAAGUAUCGUACGAAUAAGGAUCGGCUAACUCCGUGCCAGCAGCCGCGGUAAUACGGAGGAUUCAAGCGUUAUCCGGAUUUAUUGGGUUUAAAGGGUGCGUAGGCGGUUUGAUAAGUUAGAGGUGAAAUCCCGGGGCUUAACUCCGGAACUGCCUCUAAUACUGUUAGACUAGAGAGUAGUUGCGGUAGGCGGAAUGUAUGGUGUAGCGGUGAAAUGCUUAGAGAUCAUACAGAACACCGAUUGCGAAGGCAGCUUACCAAACUAUAUCUGACGUUGAGGCACGAAAGCGUGGGGAGCAAACAGGAUUAGAUACCCCAGUAGUC